rnacentral:piRNA from 1 species
UCCUCGCCACUACUUGCCGGUAGCC